rnacentral:lncRNA from 1 species
UGGAGAAUGACUAACGUUAGUUCUGAAAACGAACGAUUCUCCCUCUCAUAAUUUUACCCUAUUAAUUCAGGUCACUGAUACUCCACCUGAUGUGGUGUAAGUAGUCGAACCAGAUCAGAACGCCUUUGAAGACCACCUUCAGGCACGGACUGAGAAGGAUGUGGAGGUUUUUGACCAGUUCUGACCAUUCUGCCUGCCCUGACCCUGAGCCUGUCUGUGGUUCUGUCCCUGGUUAACACUGCCUUGGAUUACUGACUUCUGCCAGCCCUGGACCUGCCCUUUGCCUGCCUUGUUUUGUAAUAAACAUCUGAAAUUCGAA